rnacentral:hammerhead_ribozyme from 1 species
GUACUGAGGAGGAGUUCCAAAUAGGACGAAACAGCUGUCCAGUAC